GAGUUUGAUCGUGGCUCAGAUUGAACGCUGGCGGCAUGCCUUACACAUGCAAGUCGUACGGCAGCACGGGAGCUUGCUCCUGGUGGCGAGUGGCGAACGGGUGAGUAAUGCAUCGGAACGUAUCCUGGAGUGGGGGAUAACGUAGCGAAAGUUACGCUAAUACCGCAUAUUCUGUGAGCAGGAAAGCGGGGGACCUUCGGGCCUCGCGCUCUUGGAGCGGCCGAUGUCGGAUUAGCUAGUUGGUGAGGUAAAGGCUCACCAAGGCGACGAUCCGUAGCAGGUCUGAGAGGAUGAUCUGCCACACUGGAACUGAGACACGGUCCAGACUCCUACGGGAGGCAGCAGUGGGGAAUUUUGGACAAUGGGGGCAACCCUGAUCCAGCCAUGCCGCGUGAGUGAAGAAGGCCUCGGUGUAAG
rnacentral:rRNA from 1 species